rnacentral:rRNA from 1 species
UACGUAGGAGGCAAGCGUUGUCCGGAAUUACUGGGUGUAAAGCGCGUGUAGGCGGCAGGCCAAGUCUGUGGUGAAAUCGCUCGGCUCAACUGGGCGGGGUCCAUGGAAACUGGUCAGCUGGAGGACGGUAGAGGUGAGUGGAAUUCCCGGUGUAGUGGUGAAAUGCGUAGAUAUCUGGAGGAACACCGGUGGCGAAGGCGGCAUCCUGGACCGACACUGACGCUGAGACGCGAAAGCGUGGGGAGCAAACAGG